rnacentral:rRNA from 1 species
CAGUAGCCACGGGAAUACGAAGGGUGCAAGCGUUACUCGGAAUUACUGGGCGUAAAGCGUGCGUAGGUGGUGGUUUAAGUCCGUUGUGAAAGCCCUGGGCUCAACCUGGGAAUUGCAGUGGAUACUGGGUCACUAGAGUGUGGUAGAGGAUAGUGGAAUUCCCGGUGUAGCAGUGAAAUGCGUAGAGAUCGGAAGGAACAUCUGUGGCGAAGGCGACUAUCUGGGCCAACACUGACACUGAGGCACGAAAGCGUGGGGAGCAAACCGGAUUAGAUACCCCUGUAGUCCCUGUCUCUUAUAC